UGGGGAAUAUUGGACAAUGGGCGCAAGCCUGAUCCAGCCAUGCCGCGUGAGUGAUGAAGGCCCUAGGGUUGUAAAGCUCUUUCACUGGUGAAGAUAAUGACGGUAACCGGAGAAGAAGCCCCGGCUAACUUCGUGCCAGCAGCCGCGGUAAUACGAAGGGGGCUAGCGUUGUUCGGAUUUACUGGGCGUAAAGCGCACGUAGGCGGACUUUUAAGUCAGGGGUGAAAUCCCGGGGCUCAACCCCGGAACUGCCUUUGAUACUGGAAGUCUUGAGUAUGGUAGAGGUGAGUGGAAUUCCGAGUGUAGAGGUGAAAUUCGUAGAUAUUCGGAGGAACACCAGUGGCGAAGGCGGCUCACUGGCUCGAUACUGACGCUGAGGUGCGAUAGCGUGGGGAGCAAACAGG
rnacentral:rRNA from 1 species